rnacentral:lncRNA from 1 species
GCCUCUUUGUGUAUGAGUGUGUCCAUAAGUACUUGAGCAAAAUCACAUGCAUGUUGAAAGGUUCCAUUGGGAAUUGCCAGUGGCUCAUGACCCUGACCUGAGUUUUACUAACUCUAGCAUAGUUCAACCAACUUCACAUGGAUUGAUUCACCCACAAUUCUUGAUAGCAUAUAGUUGUUAACUUAGUAAGUGGUAUUCCAAUUUGAAACGCAUAUGAAUGUGU